rnacentral:rRNA from 1 species
UUCGUAGGCUGUUAUUAAGUUGGGGGUGAAAUCUCCGGGCUCAACCCGGAGCUCGUUCUCAAAACUGGUAGACUUGAGUAAGGUAGAGGCUGACGGAAUUCUGCAAGUAGGGGUAAAAUCCGUUGAUCUGCAGAGGAACACCAAAAGCGAAGGCAGUCAGCUGGGCCUUUACUGACGCUGAGGGACGAAAGCGUGGGUAGCGAACGGGAUUAGAUACCCCGGAUAGUCCACGCCGUAAAUGAUGGAUACUGGACAUUGGUACUCGAUCGUAUCAGUGUCUCAAGCUAACGCAUUAAGUAUCCCGCCUGGGGAGUACGGUCGCAAGAUUAAAACUCAAAGGAAUAGACGGGGACCCACACAAGCGGUGGAGCAUGUGGUUUAAUUCGACAAUAAGCGAGGAACCUUACCAGGGCUUGACAUCCCGAGAAUUCUUUAGAAAUAGAGAAGUGCCUUUAUGGAACUCGGUGACAGGUGCUGCAUGGUUGUCGUCAGCUCGUGCCUUGAGGUGUUCGGUUAAGUCCGUAAACGAGCGCAACCCUAGUCCUAUGUUGUAUAUUUCAUAGGAGACUGCCUUGUCCAACGAGGAGGAAGGUUAGGAUGACGUCAAAUCAGCAUGGCCCUUAUGUCCUGGGCGACACACGUGCUACAAUGGUCGGUACAAUGGGUAGCCAACCCGCGAGGGGGAGCCAAUCCCAUCAAAGCCGGUCCAAGUUCGGAUUGGAGGCUGCAACUCG